GGCGGAGUGUGAUUCGCCAAUUAAAAGUUAAUUGUUGUCUGGUUUGUCUUGUGGUGAGAUGGUUAGGUAUGAUGGAAUGGUGGGGGUCUGGUAUGUCUCUAGGUGUGAGUGUGUGUACUAAUGCCUAUGAAGGAGGACAGGUAUGUCUCUAGGUGUGAGUGUGUGUACUAAUGCCUAUGAAGGAGGACAGGUAUGUCUCUAGGUGUGGGUGUGUGUACUAAUGCCUAUGAAGGAGGACAGGUAUGUCUCUAGGUGUGGGUGUGUGUACUAAUGCCUAUGAAGGGGGACUGGUAUGUCUCUAGGUGUGAGUGUGUGUACUAAUGCCUAUGAAGGGGGACUGGUAUGUCUCUAGGUGUGGGUGUGUGUACUAAUGCCUAUGAAGGGGGACUGGUAUGUCUCUGUUUGCCCUGUACCC
ensembl:lncRNA